UACGUAGGCAGCGAGCGUUGUUCGGAAUUACUGGGCGUAAAGAGUGUGUAGGCGGAGUUCCAAGUUCGGUGUGAAAUCUCCCGGCUUAACUGGGAGGGUGCGCCGAAAACUGGAAUGCUCGAGCGUGGGAGAGGAAAGCGGAAUUCCUGGUGUAGCGGUGAAAUGCGUAGAUAUCAAGAGGAACACCUGAGGUGAAGACGGGUUGCUGGGCCGACACUGACGCUGAGUGCGCGAAAGCCAGGGGAGCAAACGGG
rnacentral:rRNA from 1 species